ensembl:lncRNA
AAGUAUGAAGAUUAGCAAUGGCUCCUCAGGGGAGGAGUCACAAAUUGAGAACUGAAGGAUAAGUGGAAGUCUACUGAUGAAGCAAGGGGCAUCACCUAGGCAGAGGUACAGCAAGUACAAAGACCUGGGGAUGGGAAGCAGCCCAACACAUUCAAGGAACUUGAUGGGAAACUGUGGAUGGAAAAACAGUGGAAACAUAAGAGAAGGCAUGAAUGGAUUUUUCUUUAAAACAAAGGCCCUGACUGCAUGAAUCCACAUAUGGGUCAAGGAAGGGGGCCUACCUCCAGCGUCUCACCCUUGUUUUAGACAAAAAGAAGGAGAAGGAAGAAGGGGAGGAAGAAGAGAAAGGGAACAGCACAGGUAUCAAGAAAACAAGACUUUUCAGUAACUGCUCAGAAGACUCCCCAGCAGAUCCCCAAGUAGCCUCACUUUACCCUCACCCCAACUCUACCCCCGAAGCAGCUGCAUGGGAGAUAGAGAGUAAUGUGUUUGUUUUUUCAAAAACUGGGCAUGC